CCUUAGAGUUUGAUCCUGGCUCAGAUUGAACGCUGGCGGUCAGGCCUAACACAUGCAAGUCGAGCGGUAACAUUUCUAGCUUGAUAGAAGAUGACGAGCGGCGGACGGGUGAGUAAUGCUUGGGAAUAUGCCUUAGGGUGGGGGACAACAGUUGGAAACGACUGCUAAUACCGCAUAACGUCUACGGACCAAAGGGGGCUUCGGCUCUCGCCCUUAGAUUAGCCCAAGUGGGAUUAGCUAGUUGGUGAGGUAAUGGCUCACCAAGGCGACGAUCCCUAGCUGGUUUGAGAGGAUGAUCAGCCACACUGGAACUGAGACACGGUCCAGACUCCUACGGGAGGCAGCAGUGGGGAAUAUUGCACAAUGGGGGCAAGCCUGAUGCAGCCAUGCCGCGUGUGUGAAGAAGGCCUUAGGGUUGUAAAGCACUUUCAGUAAGGAGGAAAGGUUAGUAGUU
rnacentral:rRNA from 1 species